UGUCCAAAGUCAUAGCUAAUCAUAAACCCGAAGGCUGGACCCCAGGGCUGCCUCCUGCCCAAGCCCAGGCUCCUGUUUCACCAGAGGUUUUCUUUCCUUUUCCCACUCAUUCUUUACCAAAUUGGGUCUCUCCUGAUCCCCGUAGGGGAUCAAGGGCUUAUGUCAGCGGAGUCUCUCCCAUGUGAAGAAGGCCCAGGAUUGUCCCCGGGGUGUGUAACCACCAGCACACACAGGUGUACCCUCCUCGCAGUCACAGAGUCGUGCUUGCCUUCCUGGGAGGCUGGCUGCUGUAAUUGACCAUAAGCAUCUGUAGUCCUCUCGGAGGCCUCCCCAGCCCAGGCUUCUGCUGGAAUGCCAGGGCUACCUGUCCGUAGAGGGUAGUGGUACCAUUCCCCCAGAUUGGGGAAUGGGGGGAUGGGAGGUUUGGAAUUCCUUUGGCCUCUGCUGGAGGACUCUGGGCAACCCCCAGUCCAGCUGGACACCCUCCAUGACAAUCCCCAGAGCAUCUCUAGAUGAAAGGAGCCAGGAGGGAGAACCAGCUCUGUGGUGUGUGUAGGCCUGAGGGUGACAGGGCUCUCUGGUCAGGACUGUCCUUAGCAAUGCCAGGCUAAGGUGGCCUCCACGUGCAGCCACUGGCUGCUGCCUGUGGCUUCUCUCUCUGGUCCUUCCAGACGUAUUCCCAUCUUGUAGGAUGGAACAGAGACACCACUGCCCCAGAAAGAGACCAGGGCCUGGGCUCUAAUCAGCUGUGUGACCUUGGCCUUCACCCCCUCCCUGAGCCUCGGUCUCCACACGGAAACGGUCCCGCCUCCCACAUUGUUCAGAGGAUGAAGUGUGAUGCUUAAUGUAUUGUGUGUGCCAAGCACAGCCUAGUCCUUGGAGCUGAGUGAAGCAGUGUUGGCCUUGCCCUCGUAGAGUUUAUGGUCUGGUUAAUAAUUGGGACCUUGGGAGAGUUACUGACCUCUCUGGACCUCUACUUUCUCAUCUGUAAAGUUGGGAAGCUAAUAACAUCUACUUCAUUGGGUCCCUGUGGGAUUAGAUGAGGCCUUAACCUCGAGUCUGGCUCAGUAAACAUUAGCUGGCAUCAUCAUUACUAAAGGAAAGCUUCAAGGUUAGUGUUUUCCCAGAAGCCAAAGUGCAGGGAAAGGUCUCCUGCUGGAGGCAGCGCCCAGCUGUCAUCUCUGUCCAGGGCAGAGCGGAAGUUCCUGCUCUUCCUGCGGGGCAGCUCGGGCUGGCACAGUUCCCUCCCUCCUUGGCUGAGGCUCCAUCUGGGGCAUCUUGGUGGGGACCCCCUUCCUGCUGCUGCACAGUGGCCCGGUGGACUCUAUUGCUUUCCCACGUGGAGCAGGGCCUGGGAGCAAAGGUCAGCAUCCGGGGUUGGGAAAGGGUGGGGCCAUGCUGCCUCCGGGAGAGAGCUGGGCAGAAGCUCAUCACACAACUGCUGCCUCGCCAGCCUCAGGGGCUUCAUGGGGUCGCUGUCUCUCUCCCCCACUUAGAGAAGUCACAGGCUUGGUGAAGGGGGUUUGUGAUACCUUCUGAAGCACAGGCUGAGGUCUGACAGUGCCUCCGUGCACAGUCCCACCCCUUAAGCUUCUUGACCUUCAGUGGGCCUGGGGGACCCUUGGGAACCAGUGUCCUCCAGCCACCCAGGAGGCUGGGGGACCCAGCAGAGGUUGACCUGGUGCCCAGCAGCGUCUCUUCCACGGAGGGCUGAGUUGUGUCCAGGGAGCCUGGGGCCGCGGGGCCUGCUGGUGUCCCGGGCACUGGCGGCAGGGCUUUCCGAGGCUGGCGUCGUUCCCACAUCCUAGGUGUGCAGGUCAGGCAGCGGCUGCGCGUGGGAGGAGCUCUGCUGCUGAGAGUGGAUGCACAGAUUCCCAGGCAAUGGGAGAAGCAGCGCUUUUCCAUCAGCUAUGUGGCCCUGGACAGAUCACAUCCCUGGGCCUCGUUUACUCUGUGGACAAAAAGAAACUAUUAGGUCUAACCCUCACAGAGCUGUGGUAGAGGGUUAAUGAGAUGGAAGUGUUUCUUCCAGUGUUAGCCCCGAGAGUUGACCCAACUGGACAGCCAAUGAGAGCGCGUGCUGGGUGCAGGGCCC